rnacentral:rRNA from 2 species
GACGAACCGUGCGAACGUUGUUCGGAAUCACUGGGCUUAAAGGGCGCGUAGGCGGGCUGUCAAGUCUGGGGUGAAAUGCCGCGGCUCAACCGUGGAACUGCCUCAGAUACUGACGGCCUCGAGGAAGGUAGGGGCAUGCGGAACAUUGGGUGGAGCGGUGAAAUGCGUUGAUAUCCAAUGGAACUCCGGUGGCGAAAGCGGCGUGCUGGACCUUUUCUGACGCUGAGGCGCGAAAGCUAGGGGAGCAAACGGG